AAAUUAAGUUGAAUACAACAGACUCUAAGGCAAUUAUGGUUCUAACUUCUAAGUUCCAAUUGAGAAGUGAUAAUUAGAAAUGUGAUUAAAGUUUGCUAAUCGAUUGUUCAUCUCAUGAUUUGACUUAGAAUGCGCGAGUAAUGUUCCAUUUUUCUUUUUAUUAAGAGUAUGCAAGAUUUAAACUGUCAAGCUGAAGGAACACUAUAGUGCUUCCACCAUUGUUAUUGACUUCAUACAACAUGAAAGCUUGAAACAAGAAUGUUAUUGUAGGGAAAGAGAGGAGAGUGUGUUAGAGAUCUACAAUAUUUAAAGAUUAAUGAAUCAAACUGGGUGAAUGACAAGAAGCUAAAACAGAAUCUCGAAAGCUGAUCUAAAUUUAGUUGUAACGAGGGGUUGAGAUGGUUGCAUAAUGAAGCUGACUUGGCUGGAGGUUAGUUAAACCUAGUUUUUCCAAGAGUCUAAAAAGCCAUGUAUUCUCCAAAGCAACACUGCCAUAGUGCCAUAUCCCUCUUAUGAGCUUCUGAACUGGAUAUUACCCCCCUUUUUUCUUUGAUACCGAGCUGAAUGGAGAUUUAGCAAGCAGCAAGAUGUACCCUGAAUUACUUAAGUCCGGACAGCCACCCGUCUGCUAGUCUGAGAGUCUAAGUCGGAGAAAGCUUGCAAUGAGGGUCGGACUGUAGAUGAAGCAAUAUACACUUGUCUGAUGCAGCUGAGAUAUAUCUCAAAAUAUGUUUAAGAAAUUCAAAGUGGGGAACUCUGGGCAGCUGCAGAAACUGAAUUAAAUGCUGCAUUAUAUAAGCCAUAUCAAGCCUGUUGAGGAUUAAGAUUUUCAAUAGUAUAAAGACUAGGGUCAUAAAAAAGUUCUCCUUCAUUGGAGCCUUAAGUUUUAAAUGAAGAGGCACUGGGGUGAUAGUGGCUUUACAAGGUUGUUUAUAUCCCUCUGCGUAACUUUUGUGCUAACUUCUUCUGAAUGAGAGAUGUAACUUUGAGAGAUAGCCAACAUCAAUUCCUUUGAAGUAGUGCAAGGUUCCUAAAUCUGAUUAUUCUUAUCCUGAUGAUGCUUUAAAACUUCAAUACAACUGUCAGAGUAAUGUCAUCUACAUACACCAAUGGUUUGAGGUGUAGGCCUCUUGAUAAACAAUGAGUAAUCAUUCUAUAACUAAGUAAAAUCUUGAGCUUGUAUUUCAUCAACAAGAUUUGAGAACCAUCAUCUGGAGGGUUCCCAAAGGUUAUAUACACUCUUAAUCGAUUUGCAAACCUAUAGUCUGCAUAGGAACAUCUUCAUGUACACUUCUUUAUGCCAUAAAAAUCAUUAUUGACAUCAAGGUGGAGGAGAGACCAGUUCUUAGACGUAGCUAAGGCAAUAAUGAACCUUACGACUUCUGUUGAAAAGGUUUCUAAGUAAUCAAUCCCAUGCUAGUGUUGGUUCAAUUAUUUUGCCAUCAACCAAACUUUAUGUCUUUCCAAAGUGCCAUACGUCUUUAGUUUACUUUUAUGAAUCGAUCUAAACCCUGUUGUUACUUUUCCUGGUGGCAAGGAAUCCAACUCCUAAGUCUUACAAUUGUAUAUUCAUGAUGUGAGAAAAAUUCUUUAUUUUAUAGGAACAUCACAAUAAGUAAUCAAGUUGCACCAAAGGAAAGUAGAGGAGGAAGAAACAACGCAAUGAUAAUCUUGCUAAUGGCAUGACUCUUUAAGAAUUCUAGAAGAUUUUUCGAGAUCAACUGGAGAGGAUAUAUAGGUCUUAAAAUCUCAAGAGACUCCUCUAUAAAAGGAAACAAUUAAAAGUUGAAAAGGGAUGAAAGUGCAAGUUAAGAGGUGGAGUAUUCAUUUAACUUGGAGAUCAAUUAUUUUUUGGUUUAUGAAUGCUAGCAAAAGGAAUAAACCUAGUAAAAAUAGGAAGUAGAAGUUCUAAAAUGUCAUGAAGGUAAAAAAAAAAAAGAUAAUGUAGGAGAAGAAGAAUGGAAAGAUGUUCUUCAUAGGCACAAGAUCUUUCAUUGGGCUUUAAAAUAGUUACACUUAGCACUUUAUGUGCCAAUGAAAGCCCAACAUUCUUUGGCUUGAUAUUUGGUUUCAUGUUGUUCCGAGGCGGAAACAAUGCAAAGACAACCAAACACCUUUAAUCUAGAGAUGACAACGGGUCGAACUUGGAUCGGAUUAUGCAUAAUUCGACUCUGAUCCUACAAGAAGUCGGAUUUUAAACCCGAGUCCGACUCCGAAAAUCCGAACCCGACCCGACUUAAAAUUCGGACAUUCGACUUCGAAUCCGAUCCGAUUUAAAAUCCGAAUAUCCGACUUAAAAUUUGAACUUCCGACUGCCAACCAAUCCGACUUAUUUUUCUGCCCAUUUUUUUAUAGGAGAAUAAUCUUAUAAUUUAAUAAUCUAAUCAUUACAAUUUAUUCUAAUAACAUUUUGGAAAUCUUAUAUAAUACAAAUAAUCUAAAUAUUACUAUUAUUUUUAACAAUAAUUUCUUCAACGGGAAAGUCAUAUAUAAUGCAAUUGGCUGAAAGUCGAAGUCAAGUUAUACAUAAAUGAUACAUUAACAUAAAUAAGAAAAAAGGAUUGUGACUCAAAGUCGGAGUCGGAUUAUUUUAUGAGAUCUGACUUCGACCCUCCUCCGACUCGGAGUCGGACUUUUUAAACGGAGUCGGAUUACUUUUUUGUCGGAGUCGACUCAGAUUUUUUCUUUCGGAUCGGAGUGGACCAGGGUCGGAUCCGCACUGGAUUGCCAUCCCUACCUUACUUGAUCUAAAGAUUAGGUGGGUUGCCAAAUAGUUUUCUUAGAGAGUAAGGUUGUGUAAAAUAGGUAAAGGCUUUAUGUUGAUUAAAUGGUUGACACAUUAAACACAAUUUCCGCAUAAUCGAAUAGGAACUUUAGAUUGGAUUUAGAGAGCUCCAGCAAUUGGUUGGAGAUGUUUACAUUUUUUUUCCAUCACUCCAUUUUGUUGUGGGGGAAUAUACUUGAUUUUGUUGCAUCAUAUAAACCCAUGAUAUAUUGGAGAAUCAUCAAUGAUGGUAAAACAAAAAAGAAGAAAGAUUGAAUCAUGCUUGAGUGGCAUCUUGAUAAGCGCCCCAUACAUCAACAUGAAGGAGCGAGAAGAACUAUUAGUUUCAAUGCUACUAGAACGGAAAUGUAGUGGUUUGUCUAGAGGCAGGAUUCGACAAACAUCAUUCGCGAAGCAGGUUAUUACAUCAAUUAUAGCUUAGCCUUUAAUGCAUUAUUAAAACACGAAAAUUUAGUAGCUACAGAAGUAGAAAAUGGGAGUUCCAAGAAGGUGUCUUCCUUAGAAUUUUUUUUUUUAUGGAAAUACAAACCAUCUGUUAGACUAGCAAGAACAUGAGGCCUCAUAUUAUGGCCCUUAAUAAAACAUUGUACAUACAUAAAUCUAGCCAUACCAUUAAGAUCUUAGCAUAGCUUAUAAAUGAAAAUUAGAUUGAAUAGAGAUCGAGCUAUAUGUAGCACAUUGUAUCAUAUUGUUGUUUAAGUAUCUUAUGCCUAUCAGCCUAUGUGAUUAAGAGAAGAAUUUCUCCUAUUCGGAAUAGUAAUAUGGUGUGUGUGCGAGUAAUAUAUGCACGCGAUGCGUGCAAUAAUAUAUUAAUAUUAAUAGUAACAUCAAAAAGUGUUAAAAAACAAACUUAAGAUUGUAAUAUUUAUGGUGAAUAUUUGAUGAACGUUAUGAUUUCUUAUUUGCAUUGUUAGUGUAAAGAGUAAUGUUUUCCAGAAAGACCUAAAUCAAGGUAGGAUAUGUUAUCGUGUAUUUGGAAGAAUAUUCAACAACUCUUCUUUUAAACAAUGAUCUAAGUUAUGUUAUGUUAUUUAUUUAAAAAUACAUAUAUUUUAUAUGCGUAUUUCAUGAGUAGUAGUUCAAUUUUAUUUUAUUUGGUAAUAUAGGUUUUUAGGCAUGCUAUGGUGAGUAGUGCUUCAAUAAAAGAAAAUUAUAAAUUGAUAUUAUCUGAUGAUGUAUGUUUAUAUCUUUAAUUAUUUAUUAUCCCAACUAAUUGUGCUCCGCAAAAAAUUUAAAAAAUGAAUAUUCUGUAGUUAAGUUUCUUAAUUGUUUUAUGGUUUGUUAAUACUCCCUCCGUUUCCUAAAGAUCUUCCUUAUUGCUGUUCCUACAGAUAUCAAGGAGGAUCCAUUUGUGUGGGGUGGGUAAAGUAGGAGAGAGAAAGGGGUUAAGAUAAAUAAACAAAUAAAAAGGGGUUAAAGUAGGAGAGAGAAAGGGAGUAAAAUUGAAGUAAUAAUGUAAUGGUGGACCAUAUGAUAGGGACAUGAGAGGGUAAAAAGGAAAAAAAAAAUCCAAAUAAGGAAUAAAGUAAAAGAGGGAA